GGAUCCAGACUUUGAUUAUGGCUCAGGAUGAACGCUAGCUACAGGCUUAACACAUGCAAGUCGAGGGGAAGCGACAUCGAAAGCUUGCUUUUGAUGGGCGUCGACCGGCGCACGGGUGAGUAACGCGUAUCCAACCUGCCCACCACUUGGGGAUAACCUUGCGAAAGUAAGACUAAUACCCAAUGACGUCUCUAGAAGACAUCUGAAAGAGAUUAAAGAUUUAUCGGUGAUGGAUGGGGAUGCGUCUGAUUAGCUUGUUGGCGGGGUAACGGCCCACCAAGGCUACGAUCAGUAGGGGUUCUGAGAGGAAGGUCCCCCACAUUGGAACUGAGACACGGUCCAAACUCCUACGGGAGGCAGCAGUGAGGAAUAUUGGUCAAUGGACGAGAGUCUGAACCAGCCAAGUAGCGUGCAGGAUGACGGCUCUAUGGGUUGUAAACUGCUUUUAUAAGGGAAUAAAGUGAGCCUCGUGAGGCUUUUUGCAUGUACCUUAUGAAUAAGGACCGGCUAAUUCCGUGCCAGCAGCCGCGGUAAUACGGAAGGUCCGGGCGUUAUCCGGAUUUAUUGGGUUUAAAGGGAGCGUAGGCCGGAGAUUAAGCGUGUUGUGAAAUGUAGAUGCUCAACAUCUGCACUGCAGCGCGAACUGGUUUCCUUGAGUACGCACAAAGUGGGCGGAAUUCGUGGUGUAGCGGUGAAAUGCUUAGAUAUCACGAAGAACUCCGAUUGCGAAGGCAGCUCACUGGAGCGCAACUGACGCUGAAGCUCGAAAGUGCGGGUAUCGAACAGGAUUAGAUACCCUGGUAGUCCGCACGGUAAACGAUGGAUGCCCGCUGUUGGUCUGAAUAGGUCAGCGGCCAAGCGAAAGCAUUAAGCAUCCCACCUGGGGAGUACGC
rnacentral:rRNA from 1 species